GUGGCUGUAGCUCAGUUGGCAGAGCAUCAGGUUGUGGCCCUGAGGGCCGUGGGUUCAAGUCCCAUCAGCCACCCCA
rnacentral:tRNA from 2 species